rnacentral:rRNA from 1 species
UACGUAGGGGGCAAGCGUUAUCCGGAUUUACUGGGUGUAAAGGGAGCGUAGACGGUGAUGUAAGUCAGAUGUGAAAGCCCGGGGCUCAACCCCGGGACUGCAUUUGAAACUAUGUUGCUAGAGUGCAGGAGAGGUAAGUGGAAUUCCUAGUGUAGCGGUGAAAUGCGUAGAUAUUAGGAGGAACACCAGUGGCGAAGGCGGCUUACUGGACUGUAACUGACGUGAGGCUCGAAAGCGUGGGGAGCAAACAGG